rnacentral:lncRNA from 1 species
CUGAACAAAUUUUUAUUAUCCAAAAAAUUUAGAUCUAUUUUCUCUCUCUAAACCCAUCUUUAUCAGAUCCAUUUUCUCUCUCUCUCUCUUUCUCUUUCUCUUUCUAAACCCAUUUUACUCAGAUCUAUAUUUCGUGUUUGCCGAUCAGAGCUUCAAUGAUCAGAGCUUCAACUUUUAUGCCAUUUCCCGAAGUCGUUCUCCAACAUAACGCUAAAAUAAACCUUUUCAUCUCUCUUUCUCAUUUCCUUCGCAGCCUUACAAGGUUUUGGAAGACAGGCGAGGCUAAAAAAAAUCCCCAAUUCAUCACCAUGAGGUUCUUCUGAUUUGAGCUCUGAGCUUGCCGGAUUAUGGGUUCUUUCUUCUCUGGUGGUUUUUAUGGAUUCUGGGAUGCUCUCGAUUGAUCCAUGUUUCAUUGUGAUUUGGGUUGAUGUUGCAUCUACUAAAUAUCAUAUUCAUGCUCUGAUUUGGGUUCUGUUAAGUUUCCAUCUCAGUUGAAUUAGGGACAUUUCUUAUUGAUUUUAUUCGUCUGAUUUGGUGUUUAAUUUCAAUCAGUUUUAUUUUUGGCUGGUUUGGUUUUGAUUUUUUUCUUUCUAAUUAUUUGGUUUGGUGUUGGGUAUUUAGGUUUCGGUGCUUUUAGUUUCAUUCUUGCAUUUGGCUGGGUGAAUCUUGGGUUGUUGUCCCUCAUUAAGUUUGGGCUGUCGGAAUUUGGGUCUUUGGCUCGUCUGAUUCCGUGUUUUCUUAGUUUUGGAUAUCAUUUUGUUUGCCUAUCUUUCAUAUUUAGAGUUUGGUUGUGCUUGAGUUGCAUCUCUUAAUGCCGUUAAUGUUGUGUAAUAAUUUGAAACAUGGAGGGUGUUCAUCCUGGAUCUAAGCAGCUUCAUCCAAGUUUAAUUUGUUUACGGAGAAUGGGUUUAGAGAGAGAAAAUGACAGACACUAAAUGAUGAUUGGAUGAGUUUGAAAUUAAGUUGUUUAAUUUGUUUUAAUUAGGAGUUAAAAUUAUAUCUUCAUGUUUUGUCAUUAAAAUUUGUCUAGCCAUGUCACCCACGUUAAUCUAGGUGGCAUGUCCGUUAACGGCAGAGGAACAGUUGACUCAAAAUUUAUAGAAUAAUAUUAGAGACAAACUAUUCUACAAAUAUUUUACAAACUGUUGAUCAAUAUGUUGAGGUGGAGUAUGCCACAUCAGCAGUUUAUAAAAAGAACAAUUACAUGUUCUAUUAUAUUUUUAAAAAUAAUUACAACAAUAGUUCAC